rnacentral:rRNA from 1 species
CACGCCGCGUGAGGGAUGAAGGCCUCUGGGCUGUAAACCUCUUUUAUCAAGGAAGAAGAUCUGACGGUACUUGAUGAAUAAGCCACGGCUAAUUCCGUGCCAGCAGCCGCGGUAAUACGGGAGUGGCAAGCGUUAUCCGGAAUUAUUGGGCGUAAAGCGUCCGCAGGCGGUUUUACAAGUCUGUCGUUAAAACGUGGAGCUCAACUCCAUUUCGGCGAUGGAAACUGUAAGACUAGAGUGUGGUAGGGGCAGAGGGAAUUCCCGGUGUAGCGGUGAAAUGCGUAGAUAUCGGGAAGAACACCAGUGGCGAAGGCGCUCUGCUGGGCCAUAACUGACGCUCAUGGACGAAAGCUAGGGGAGCGAAAGGGAUUAGAUACCCCUGUAGUCCUAGCCGUAAACGAUGAACACUAGGUGUCGGGGGAAUCGACCCCCUCGGUGUCGUAGCCAACGCGUUAAGUGUUCCGCCUGGGGAGUACGCACGCAAGUGUG